rnacentral:tRNA from 1 species
GGUAAAAUGGCUGAGUAAGUAAGCAUUAGACUGUAAAUCUAAGGACGGAGGUUUAAGCCCUCUUUUUGCCAA